rnacentral:lncRNA from 1 species
UAGUAGAGUAUUGCAAUUCUUUCAAUAUGCAUCAUUUACAGUUUCGGAUAUCUAUCUAUCUAUCUAUCUAUCUGCUUAUGCCUGCUUAGACCUUGUGGGAAGAUCGGCGGAGUCGGCGACCGAACCCACUGGGAAUUAUAUUUAUAUAGUUCUCACCCCACUUUGUUGCAGGGCCUAGCGAGAGAGCAUCAGCAGAGGACCGUGGUA